rnacentral:rRNA from 1 species
CCUACGGGGGGCAGCAGUGGGGAAUAUUGGACAAUGGGGGGAACCCUGAUCCAGCCAUGCCGCGUGUGUGAAGAAGGCCCUCGGGUUGUAAAGCACUUUCAGUGAGGAAGAACGCCUGGUGGUUAAUACCCAUCAGGAAAGACAUCACUCACAGAAGAAGCACCGGCUAACUCCGUGCCAGCAGCCGCGGUAAUACGGAGGGUGCGAGCGUUAAUCGGAAUUACUGGGCGUAAAGCGCGCGUAGGUGGCUUUAUAAGCCGGUUGUGAAAGCCCCGGGCUCAACCUGGGAACGGCAUCCGGAACUGUCAAGCUAGAGUGCAGGAGAGGAAGGUAGAAUUCCCGGUGUAGCGGUGAAAUGCGUAGAGAUCGGGAGGAAUACCAGUGGCGAAGGCGGCCUUCUGGACUGACACUGACACUGAGGUGCGAAAGCGUGGGUAGCAAACAGGAUUAGAUACCCUGGUAGUC